AUUCUCUUAAUAAGAGCCAACAUUUUUAAUUUAUUUGUGAAUAAUCGAAACAUCCAUAAAAACAAUCAACAAUUUUUCUUAAAAAUGGUGAAUGAACUACCGUUACAAAAGGUAUUACAGUUUUAAAUGCACAACUCCGCUUAGCUUUAGCAACACAAAAUACAAAACAUUAACAGGAGUGGCGUGGAAUUCGCCCGAAGGACAACAGAGCAGCACUGGGCGGCUAAAGCUGAGUCUUAUAAAUAAUGCAGAAAAAGCUUUUAAUUAUACAAAAGCAUCAGGCCGACCACACAAUUCAACGUCCAAACACUUAGCAGCCAACCAAGUGUGAAGAACCGUGUUUAUUAGCCCAAAACAACAGCAUCGGCGACAGCAAUACUCCACAGAUUUCAAUUUAAUUUCUUAGCAGUAGCGGAAGUCCAGUUCAGAGAUAAGCCGGAGUGGCCGAUGGCAUUAAAUCAGCAAACUAAUGGCCACUAAGCAAACGACAGGACGACACGCACCCCUCAGGCAGGAGAUGCCGGCUUCCAACUGUGGGGGCAGCUCGCCCAAGUGCCUUUCAGUUCACAUCCUGCCCUCUCGGCCCUAACUUAAAAGCACUUCCAAUCGCCCCCAAAGCAAUUUUCAACUCAGCUCACUGCCUCUGUAAGUGGCCAAAUUCGGAGGCUCCCUUGCUUUGGCUAACAACUUAGCAUGUGUUUAAGUAAAAUCCCUGAGGACGGUGCACGUAGUGACGAAUCUCACUUCAAUCCGGUUUUUGUACAUUUAUACGGAGAUGCGCCUAGAACAAACGUGUUAAGGUAACGUUCAGACGCAAGAUUACUAAAGACCAAUACUUGCAAAAUAGAAAAAUGUUUCAGCUUCCG